UACAGAGGUCUCAAGCGUUGUUCGGAUUCAUUGGGCGUAAAGGGUGCGUAGGUGGCGGGGUAAGUCAGGUGUGAAAUCUCGAGGCUCAACCUCGAAACUGCACUUGAUACUGCCUUGCUCGAGUACUGGAGAGGAGAUUGGAAUUUACGGUGUAGCAGUGAAAUGCGUAGAUAUCGUAAGGAAGACCAGUGGCGAAGGCGAAUCUCUGGGCAAUUCCUGACACUGAGGCACGAAGGCCAGGGGAGCAAACGGG
rnacentral:rRNA from 1 species